rnacentral:rRNA from 1 species
AGAGUUUGAUCCUGGCUCAGAGUGAACGUUGGCGGCGUGGAUUAGGCAUGCAAGUCGAGCGAGAACCGUAGCAAUACGGGGACAGCGGCGAAAGGGACAGUAAUGUGUAGGUACCUACCUCCGGGUUCGGGAUAGCUGCGGGAAACUGCAGGUAAUACCGAAUAACGUCUCCGGACCAAAGGUGUGAUUCCACCUGGAGAGGGGCCUGCAUCCUAUUAGCUUGUUGGCGGGGUAACGGCCCACCAAGGCGACGAUGGGUAGCGGGUGUGAGAGCACGACCCGCGUCAUUGGGACUGAGACACUGCCCAGACACCUACGGGUGGCUGCAGUCGAGGAUCUUCGGCAAUGGGCGCAAGCCUGACCGAGCGACGCCGCGUGCGGGAUGAAGGCCUUCGGGUUGUAAACCGCUGUCGUAGAGGAGGAAAUGCAGGAGGGUUCUCCCUCCUGUUUGACCUAUUCUAGGAGGAAGGACGGGCUAAGUUCGUGCCAGCAGCCGCGGUAAGACGAACCGUCCAAACGUUACUCGGAAUUACUGGGCUUAAAGGGUGCGUAGGCUGCGCGGAAAGUCGGGUGUGAAAGCCCUCAGCUCAACCGGGGAAUUGCACUCGAAACUACCGUGCUCGAGGGAGACAGAGGUAAGCGGAACUCAAGGUGGAGCGGUGAAAUGCGUUGAUAUCUUGAGGAACACCGGUGGCGAAGGCGGCUUACUGGGUCUCUUCUGACGCUGAGGCACGAAAGCCAAGGUAGCAAACGGGAUUAGAUACCC